GACGAACCGUCCAAACGUUAUUCGGAAUCACUGGGCUUACAGAGUUCGUAGGCGGUCCGGUAAGUUAGGUGUGAAAUCCCUCGGCUCAACCGAGGAACUGCGCUUGAUACUGCCGGACUCGAGGGAGAUAGAGGAAAGCGGAACUGAUGGUGGAGCGGCGAAAUGCGUUGAUAUCAUCAGGAACACCGGUGGCGAAGGCGGCUUUCUGGGUCUCUUCUGACGCUGAGGAACGAAAGCUAGGGUAGCGAACGGG
rnacentral:rRNA from 1 species